UACGUAGGGGGCAAGCGUUGUCCGGAUUUAUUGGGCGUAAAGAGCGUGUAGGCGGCCAAGCAGGUCCGCUGUGAAAACUCGAGGCUCAACCUCGAGAGGUCGGUGGAAACCGUUUGGCUAGAGUCCGGAAGAGGAGAGUGGAAUUCCCGGUGUAGCGGUGAAAUGCGCAGAUAUCGGGAAGAACACCCGUGGCGAGGGCGGCUCUCUGGGACGGUACUGACGCUGAGACGCGAAAGCGUGGGGAGCGAACAGG
rnacentral:rRNA from 1 species